rnacentral:lncRNA from 1 species
CCAGCCUUGACGAAUGGGCCGACUAAGAAGAAACCAUGAGCUAGACCUACUUCGACACCGCGAAGGAGCGGGUUGACCGCAGUACGGUAGCCAGGGAGGUUGGAAAGGUACCACGCGAUCAAAGGACUAGAUGUCACAGGAGUUUCCAAGCUUCCAAUGAAUGGAUCACCAUUGAUUGGUUGAAUCACUUGAAAUGUUGGCUGCCAAUUUCCAUAUUUAUUGUUAGACCACUAUACAUAUAAUCACAAUUGCAUAUGUUUAUAACCAAUAUUUGUCACACUUGUAACUCCUAAGUUCCAUGGAAGAGGUUCUAUAGUCUAAUACCAAAACAUAAACUAGAACAUGGCCAAUCUAUGUAUAUUGUUAUGUCACGUGUAAAGACAGAACAAAGAUACCUUGUCGGAUUUAACAGCACGGACGGUGAAGGGAGAGACUCUUUUGGUCGGAGAAACACCAAAAGGAGCACCGGAG